UCCUACGGGAGGCAGCAGUGAGGAAUAUUGGUCAAUGGUCGGGAGACUGAACCAGUCAAGCCGCGUGAGGGAGGAAGGUACAGAGUAUCGUAAACCUCUUUUGUCAGGGAACAAAGGCGGGGACGUGUCCCCGGAUGAGUGUACCUGAAGAAAAAGCAUCGGCUAACUCCGUGCCAGCAGCCGCGGUAAUACGGAGGAUGCGAGCGUUAUCCGGAUUUAUUGGGUUUAAAGGGUGCGCAGGCGGUCUGUUAAGUCAGCGGUCAAAGCCCGGGGCGCAACCCCGGCCCGCCGUUGAAACUGGCAGG
rnacentral:rRNA from 1 species